rnacentral:lncRNA from 12 species
CCCCCCCCCCCCCCCCCCCCCCCCCCCCCCCCCCCCCCCCCCCCCCCCCCCCCCCCCCCCCCCCCCGUCCCAGUCUGACCAAUUUGGGACUGGGGGGAAGGAGGCUGGGAGGUCCCUGCCCCAGUUUGAGACUGGGGAAAAGGAGCCUGGAGGGUCCCUGCUUCAGUUUGGGACUGGGGGGAAGCUGAUGGAUGGGGCCCUGCCCCAGUCGGACCAGUUUGGGAUUGGAGGGAAGGAGCCUGGAGGGUCCCUGCCCCAGUUUGAGGUUCGGGCGAAGGUGGUGGAUGGAGCCCUGCCCCAGUUGGGGACUGGGAGGAAGCUGAUGGAUGGGGCCCUGUCCCAUCCCAUGUUUGGGAUUGGAGGGAAGAGAUCGGAAGAGCGGCCCCCCCCCCCCCCCCCCCCCCCCCCCCCCCCCCCCCCCCCCCCCCCCCCCCCCCCCCCCCCCCCCCCCCCCCCCCCCCCCCCCCCCCCCCCCCCCCCCCCCCCCCCCCCCCCCCCGGGAGGCGCUGCCAUCAAUCACCGCCGGCGGCUCCGGCUGCUCCCGUCACCGCGUUUUAUGGGAUCAGCGCCCCCGCGAUUUGCGGCCUCGCGUUCCGCCGGCGCCGGGGGCGUUGUUCCAACCUCCCAAUCCCAAAAAAUCCCCUUUCCCCACCCAAAAUUCAGUGGGGGCAAAUCAUCCCCCAAAAAAACAGGAGGUUUGGGAUUGGGAAAUCUGGGAUUUUGGGGGUCUGGGACUCCACGCAGGGGGUGGGGCUGCUGAUUAGGGUCGCUAUAUAGCAGAUAUAAAAAGAAGGUUUUUGGAGCCAGAAUUCCUGGGGUUUGGGUCAUAAAAUUCCCGGAUUUGGGGGCUGAAAUUCCCGGGGUUUUGGGAAAAUCAGAGAGGGGAAGGUCGCGCUGCGCUCGGGAGGAGCAGCCGGAGCUCCUGGAGCGUCCCGGAAAUGAUUACAGAUCCCAAAAGAGUCACUAGAACGCCCCGGAAAAUAAUUACAGAUCCCAAAAGUGACACUGGAACAUCCUGGAAAGUAAUUACAGAUCCCAAAGUGUCACCAGAGCAUCCCAGGAAAUAAUUAUAGAUCCCAAAACUGUCACCAAAACACCAGAAAAUAAUUACAGAUCCCAUAAGAGCCGCUGGAGCAUCCCGAAAAUAAUUACAGAUCCGAAAGUGUCACUGGAACGUCCCAAAAAUAAUUACAGAUCCCAAAAGUGACACUGGAGCGUCCCAAAAAUAAUUACAGAUUCAAAAGUGUCACCAGAGCAUCCCAGGAAAUAAUUACAGAUCCCGAAAGUGUCACCAAAACACCCCAGAAAAUAAUUACAGAUCCCAAAAGAGCCGCUGGAACAUUCUGGAAAAUGAUGACAGGUCUCAAAGUGCCGCUGGAGGCGUCGCCCGGAUUUUAAUUAAGGUGAAUUCCCUUCCCUUUUCCUUUCCCUUCCCAGGAUCCAUUUCUAUGGGAUCUGCUCCCAUGGGAUCUGUCCCUACAGGAUCCAUUUCUAUGGGAUCUGUUCCCGUGGGAUCUGUCCCUACAGGAUCCAUUUCUAUGGGAUCUGUUCCCGUGGGAUCUGUCCC